rnacentral:lncRNA from 1 species
UGCCACUACUUACAAAAAAUAGUGCUGUUACAGGCCGGCUACUUCUGCUACUGCCCCGUUUUCUCGUUGCUUCUACAGAAUGUCUGCGGCAGCUUAUCGACAGCAACUCUCUAGCUUGGCAGUCGCUGGAGGUUCGCCUAAAGAUCAAGCAGAAAGGUAUAGAGCGGUUCUUGAGAGCAUUCUGAAGAAUUCUGGACAGGAACUCGUAGAAGGACUAAAAGUUUUCGUCGAAGCUAUUGUUAAUGAGAAUGUGAGCCUUGUGAUAUCUCGACAACUCCUUACUGAUGUUGGCAAUCACCUGUCUUCACUACCGGAUGAUGUUUCAAAAUGCGUUUCUCAUUUCACACUGGAUAAAGUCCAACCUCGUGUUGUGUCUUUUGAAGAACAGGUGAGUUGCACCUUUGCUGUGUAGCAAUAUUGAAAUUAAUAUAUGAAUAUAUGCCUUUUUUUAUGCAGCUAUAGACUAAGUGAGAUUAUGCUCGCCAUGCGUCUUUUAUGUCCCGGCUUUUUUCCAGCCUUACAGAAUUUAAAAAAUCACCUGUGGCAAAUAGCACAAUUCUAGUCCUUGAACUGGAUUUCUCAAAGAGGCGGACACUACUUGCACAAUAAAUUGAAAUCCACCAAUUGACAAAUCAACAAAAUCCCACUAAUGAAGUUUUAACUGGGGAUUUGCGGCCACAAGCAGCAUGUGCUAAGCUGUGCGUUUUCCUGCCAUAGGUUGACUCGUGCUUGCCACUGUGUACUGCCUGGCCGCCCAUCGUCAAUCACUGUAGCUCUGCAUCAUCUGAAGAUUAUUUGGGUACCGCAGAGAACUUCACUGAGCCUGCAUUACCGGUAUCGGGGGUAGCGCCACCUGGACCUAUAAAACCACCGGCACUGCAUCAGCUCAUUGGGAUUUCCGGCCACAAGCAGCAUGGGCUAAGUUGUGUGUUUUACUGCCAUAGGUUGACUCGUGCUUGCCACCGUGUGCUGCCUGGCCACCCAUCAUC